rnacentral:lncRNA from 1 species
UUUUUUUUCUUAAAGUUAGGAAAUUAGAAAUAGUGUCUGUACCUGUGUUUUUGUUUUGUUUCCUGGUACUGGGAAUCGAACUCAGGACCUUGCACUUGCCAGUCAGGCACAGUGCCGUUGAGCUACAUCCCCAGACCUGUGGAAUAGUAUCCAUAUUAACUUAGCCUAGAGCCUGCUGAGAGGUCCACCUUUCCGCAUCCCCCAGGAUAUCUAGUGCGCCUGUCUGGCCCCCAGGAAUCCCCACAGUGCCUCUCACCCUUGCCACUCUCUCAGGUUGGUUGGCCGUUGCAGUUUGAACUUCUGCAUUGAUAUUCUAAGGGGGACAUCUUGUUUUGAGGGAAGAGGGACACUUCAAAACAUGCCUUGGAAGUGCAGCUAUUACUCAGCAACUUGCAUCUUCACUGGAGCCUCUUUGUAAAAUUGCUGUGGUGUGUCUGGGAAGCAAAGCAGAAGCAGCCCAGGCAGUGCCCUGCCUGACCUAGGAGCCCCACAACCUUGUGCCCAUUGUAGGACAGCAUGCUCUGUGUAGAACAUGGAAAAAUACAGGAAAGUAUGAAGAAAAUUAAAGAUAUGUUGUAUCUUUUAAAAAUCAUCUUAAUCUUAUCAUGGGGAAAUAAGACUGGAUAUAUUUUCUGUCUCACGCAUAUAUGUAUAUAUUAAAAAAUAAAAUGAAGGAUAUUUUUAAAUAUAAGAUUUGAAUAUGUUUUGUAUUUCCUUUUCCAGUUGACCUGUAGGUAUGUCUCCUAUGUCUUUACAUACUUUGGAGUAUUUAUAACAUGAUACCAAAUAUAGCUCCAUCAUGUAUUGGGAGAGAAUUAUCCAACAUACUUCUCUCUCACUCCCUUUCUUUUCCAUCUUACACAGUUUCUUAUUUUUCUCUAAUUCUCAAUCACUCCUCUGGUUGGCUCUCAGACACAGAAUGGAGCCAGGGGAUGGAAUGUCAAGUUUUCAAAGCGAUUGCCCUAUGCUAGAUGUCCACCGUGUCCACUGCAGUGUAUGGAGUCUUCAGAGCAGCGAACAUCCUGCUUUUGCAUCAUUCAGUCUUUCUUUUUUUUUUUUGGUAAUGGGGAUCGAACUCAGGUCCUUGUGCUUGUGCAGCAGGCAGCAAAACCACUGACCUAAAUCUCCGGCCUGCAUCAUUCAGUCUUACAGCUCUACCGCGCUGAGGUGCCAGUUCAUAAGUUGGACAUCCAGAAACCUCUCUGUAGGGCCGUCUGGCCCAUGUCCUUUGCCCCUUAGUAGACUAGUGUGCUAAUGGAAAGGAGCUCAGAAGACAUUGCUGCUGCCUCCCCUACCCAAUCAGGGAGAAAACUUGUUAGUAGUUGCCUCUAUCUGGAUGUUGGGCUCAUCUCCUCUGUUUCUUUUGGCAGGUUUUCAGUUAGCUCAAGGAGGUGGUGUGUGCCCUAACUGGUAGCUUUCUUCUUCAG